ACCGGGAGAAGCAUCGCGUCGCUGCCGCUGUCCGAGCUGUCUUCGUCGUCGCCGAUUCCCUUCAUUGCCGCCGUUGUUAAUGAGCCCAGUCGCCGCCGAUCUGGUCUGAGGGUGAGGGAACGCGAACAGAAGGGAAGACGGGGAGCCACCGCCGCUGCUGGCUGAACCCCCCAGUGCUCCAUAUGGCCUUUGCCAUCUGGAACCGGCUUUGCCAUAGCUGAAAGUUGAAAGUACAGCAACAAAUAAUAGUUCAUAAUUUGCACCCCUUACCGAGGAGUUGUUGUUUAGGGCAUGCAUGAUACCUAUGCUACUGUGUGGAGGAUUUAAGCCAUAUGGUGUCAUACUUCUUUGCCCUAUUUUCUUCAGCCUGGUGCCUAAUUGGAAGUUUUACUGCAUCAUUGGUUUGCAGCACAUUUAAAUCAUUUCAUGGAGAUUUAUGCCAAGCAAAACAACAGAAUAAAAAAGGUUGUUAUGGUUAUAGGAUAUAAGUGCUUCCGUCGUCAUCUCUUCUCGCAAGCAGCAAAAUGUUGAAGAAGCUGCAGAGAAACUUAGGGCUAAAGGAAUUGAAGUUUUGACCCUUGUUUGCCAUGUCUCCAACAAUCAACAGAGAAAGGAUUUGAUUCAAAAAACCGCACAGGUCACCCUUUUCUAUUCAUUUUUAUCGAAUGCAUUAUCCUUUAUUAAAAUUUGUUUGAAUGCUGUUGAAUAUGCUGUUAAACAUUACAUAAGUGUGGAAAUAUAGAUGUGAUUGUGUCAAACGCAGCUGCAAAUCCUUCUGUUGACCCUAUUUUGCAAACCAAAGACUCUGUUCUUGACAAGCUUCACUUGCCCUGCAAAGUGUUCCUUGAACAUCUAACAAAACUGCAUAUAUCUUCUUGUUUUUAAGUCUUAUAAUUAUUCGUAAUAUGCUGCAUAGGCCUUGGCUGCUGAGAUGGCCCUAAACACUCGUGUAAACUGUAUUGCUCCCGGUUUUGUGCUAACUAAUUUUGCCUCGUUUAUUACCAGUUAUCAAUCAUUAUCUGAAUACUGUUAUCAUGAUUAAGUUGGAAAAUACAUAGUACAAAUAUCGUUGUGUUGGAGCUGAUAGUUACACAUCUAUUACGGAUAACAGAAUCUAAGUAACAGAAUUGAAAAGCCUGUGACUAACGGAUUUGACUGUCACAACAGAAUUGACAGAUUUAGUUAUAAUCAAGAUAUUUAGUUGUAUGUUUUGGUUAUAUUCUUUUGGCUAAGCACUAGUGAUUUAUGGUCACUGUAGAAAAUUCAGAGUUUAUUUGAGGAGCAACAAUCUCAUACAGCAGAAUCUACAGAUUGAAGUUUGUGAAAAGUUCAUGUAACCUACUUUCCAGGAGUGCUGAAAUGGUGACCACAUGCUACCUUGAGGGCUCAAGAAUAUUUUG